GGUCUCUCCACUGUACACCUACUAUGUUUUCUUUUGUGAUUGACAGAUAUCUUGGAGGAGAUACACUGAGACUAUGCUAAUAUCCUGUUUUACCUCAAACUUUCACCCAAUGAUUUUAGACUACCAGUAGAUCUUGUCUGCAACAAUUAUUAUUGUGCUGUCCACCCAACAGUGACUUUGUAUUUUCCUCAUUUCUCCUGCAUUCAUUAAUUACAAUUCUCCUGUAAGGUAGAAGUAUCACUUCUCCCCCAUUUAUUUAUGUAUUUAUUCAUUCACUUAUUUAUUUAUGCUGAUAUAUAUGGACUGAUGGAUAUUUAUUUUAUUCCACUAGUUUAGAAUCAAAUAUUGUCAUUAUUUUCUUGGUCAAACUGUUCCGACUUUGGCCAUUGGAAACUCCAAUGGUGGGCUCUUCAUCCUUUUGACUCUGUCAUUGGGGAGUAGCUGUUGUUGUUUUGAGUCCUUCUUUAUUUUCUGAUAUCACAAGAUUUUCAUGCUCAAUUAGAUUUUCCCUGACCCAGACCUGGAAUCAACCACUUUUCCAAGGAACUCUAUGAACCAAGACCUUCUAAUGUAAACCUCUUGUGCUCCUUCCAUUGGCUCACGUUAUAUCUGAAACAAUUUAGACUUGAACCCUGUACAAAGUUUUUCAAAAAUAUACUGCAAAGACAGGUGGAGUCUGUACUUGUUGAGCUUGUUCCAGUCGUCAAACAUAGUUUAUGUUACUCCCAGUGCUCCUCUGUCCACCCUAUUUGUACCACCAGCAUGAUCCAGACAUGAGGAAGAUGAGAAGCUAAUGGAAGUAGAUUAAAGCGUAGACAAGGGUAUAGAUGUAAACAGAGAUGAUGUGGAUACAGAUGACGAGAUGGAUAGGGAGGCUGGGAGAAUCUCUAGAUGGAACUCAAAUAUGCACAGCUAAAUUCUUUUUUCUUCAUCACUAUGCAAAUAAAAAACACAAAGCUUUUAAAAGCAAGUCCAGAAUUUUUGAAGUUUACAUUUUUCUGCCUCUUUUGACUCUGCCUGUAGGGAAAGUGCUCUCUGUGACUUCAACUUUUCUUCUCUCUCUCCCCCCACCUCAAGUUGCCUCUGUCAGCUGUCUGGGCUGGUUUAUGGGGUCAUGGCAAACCUGCUUCUCCAUGAGUCUCACACACUCACUGGGUGUGUAUUAUUAUAUGCCCUGUGUUAGGGAUGAAUAAAAUUAAACACAUGAAUGUUAGAUAAGAACCGAGUUAAAUUCACGGAAAUUAAGAGAAAGACUGGAAACAAACAAAAAACUCUAGAUUUCCAAUCUUUCCAUAAAUAAUAGGACUUUACAAAAAAAAAAAACCUAGAAGAACUAUUCCAAAUAGAUGAGUAUGAAAUGUCUGCAGUAAGUCCUAUCUUCCAUUUCAGAAUCCAAGAACACUCGAGAGUAACAACUGCACAGUUUCCUGGGGAAAUUUAAGACAUGUCAGCACAAAUCUAGACUGAGACUGACUCAUUCGGCAGGAAGAAUAUGUCUACAUGCCAGAGUACCCACCUGAUCUCAGCUCACUGCAACCUCUGCCUCCCGGGUUCAAGAGAUUCUCCUGCCUCAGCCUCCUGAAUAGCUGGGAUUACAG